CCUACGGGAGGCUGCAGUGGGGAAUAUUGCACAAUGGGCGAAAGCCUGAUGCAGCAACGCCGCGUGAGCGAUGAAGGCCUUCGGGUCGUAAAGCUCUGUCCUCAAGGAAGAUAAUGACGGUACGUGAGGAGGAAGCCCCGGCUAACUACGUGCCAGAAGCCGCGGUAAUACGUAGGGGGCUAGCGUUAUCCGGAAUUACUGGGCGUAAAGGGUGCUUAGGUGGUUUCUUAAGUCAGAGGUGAAAGGAUACGGCUCAACCGUAGUAAGCCUUUGAAACUGGGGAACUUGAGUGCAGGAGAGGAGAGUGGAAUUCGUGGUGUAGCGGUGAAAUGCGUAGAUAUUAGGAGGAACACCAGUUGCGAAGGCGGCUCUCUUGACUGUAACUGACACUGAGGCACGAAAGCGUGGGGAGCAAACAGGAUUAGAUACCCCUGUAGUC
rnacentral:rRNA from 1 species